rnacentral:tRNA from 1 species
GCCUGGGUAGCUCAGUGGGUUUAAGCAUCUGAUUUCAGCUCAGGUCAUGAUCUCAUGGUUUGUGAGUUCAAGUCCCACGUCAGGCU